UACGGAGGAUUCGAGCGUUAUCCGGAUUUAUUGGGUUUAAAGGGUGCGUAGGCGGACUGUUAAGUCAGCGGUGAAAGCUUACGGCUCAACCGUGAAAUUGCAGUUGAUACUGUUGGGCUUGAGUAUACAUGAGGUGGGCGGAAUUUGUGGUGUAGCGGUGAAAUGCUUAGAUAUCACAAGGAACUCCAAUUGCGAAGGCAGCUCACUGGGGUAUUACUGACGCUGAGGCACGAAGGUGUGGGUAUCAAACAGG
rnacentral:rRNA from 1 species